UUCUUUCAACAUUAUCAACCGCCUCUUUCUCUCUCUAUUCUUUUCCUUCACUGCUUCACACCGAAACCCUAGCCUCCGUGUUCCUUUGGCUUGAAGCUUCUACAUCUCAUUUUCUCUGAAAACAUACGCUUGUGCUUGAAUCGACUAAUAAGGGAGACACGCUUUGCCCUUUCCAAUUCCUGCUCUCAAACCCUACUGUCCGAAUACACAUCUUCCCCUUCACGUUUCCUGCCGAUCAAUCGAUUUAUCAAUCCUAUAAUAUACUAAUCUCAUCAAUGUUGAAAGCCAUCAUCAAUUUGGCGUAGAUGGGUAUUCAAGAAAAUAAAGGCAUAAGUGGGAGUUUGGGUUCGUUUCUUACUCGCAGAUGCUUUGGUUGUCUUAUGAGGGGCUACUUAGAAGGUGAGUAAUUAAUGGUUAUUUUGGAAACUUUGCACUAAUUUUCUUGCUAAAUGGUCAUGACGAUGUUGAGUUGUGAGGUUUUGGUGUGUGCUGCCUCCUUUAGAAGAAGAGGAUGUUCCUCAACUAUACCCAAAAGGGUCAAAUCUUGGUGAGUGAGCUUGAGAAACAGUUGAAAAUGGAGAUAAAAUCAAGAAACAGAGCCAGAGCCAGAGUCUAAAAGAUCUGUCUAAUGAGAAUAAGAGUUAGAAAGAAAGAUGGAGCUGAAGAUCUUUUAAAAAAGAAGAUGACAAUGGCUAGAUUUUAUGUAUUUUGGUUCCAGCGGAAUGAAAUGGUCAAGACCGGGUUCUCCGGGUUCGAAGGAACCCGACUUUGUAGUGGGGCUACUUCAACUUAAAAGAUGAAACAAGGGUUACUAAAUAAAGUUCAAUAAGCAAUCCCAAACACCCCUCUAAAAGUAACUUAUUUAGUUAAUGCUUAAAAGUCAAAUGUGGUCAUGAUUUGUUCUUUUGAUGUUUUCUUUUCUUAUAUGCUCAGGCAUGAUUUUACUUUCAACAACUUAUAUCAUGAGUUAGUUACUGUCAUUCAAUGUUAUACAAUCUUUUUGUUCAGUUUAC
rnacentral:lncRNA from 1 species